rnacentral:lncRNA from 1 species
AAAAAAAGGGAGGGAGGGAGAAAGGAAAAGGCUUAAGGCAGGAAACUGUCUCUCUUCUUGGAUUUUAAAAGAAAGCAAGCAAGCAAAACAGCCAGGAGUUUUCCCCGGGAGUGAGAAAAACAGCCUGGCCAGCCUGCCCUCUCCUGGGGGUUACAGGAUUGCUGACAGCUCGGGUCCACGUGAUGGUCUAGAAAAGAGGCUCAAGCUGAGGAAAAUCCAAGAAAUCUUCUUAGGAGUCUUCCUUUCUAAAUGUAAAUGACUGAGUCAGUGCUUUGCUAAGGAGGGAAGGAAGUCACAAUCAGGCCGAGUGACUCAUUCAGUGCUGUUAGCUCCGGGAGUUGGAUAAAAAGUUUUAGCCAAAGCAGCAACAAAUCUACUUUAAAUACUAGCACAGUAAGGAAAUUCCUCUCUUUCAGGCUGAAUGCCACCCGCACAAAAGAACUCCUGUUGACAUCUCAUUUACAAUCUCCCCCAGGACACAGACAAGACUAUUUCAAUAAACCCAGCUCAGAGACACCUAUUGUUCGGAAUCUUCAACUAGCAACAGGCUUCCACCACAACCUAUUGUUUUGUAAAAUAAAGGAUUUUGAAGGAGAAGGAUUGAGACUGUGGACGCCGUGAAAAGAGGAAGGAAAAAAGUCCCUUUGACCUGAUGCUGUCACAGAGCGUGCAAGAAGAAUGAAGUUAAUGGAUUUCCAUUUUCAUAAGAAGUGCAUAAGAAACGCCUGUUAAGUUUCUGAACUGGUGAUGGAGAAUUCCAAAUUUGCUGCCAGCUUGGUGCAUCGAGAAGCAAACUCCUGCCCACGGGUUUGCUAAAUGCAAAGCCCCGGGCUAUACUUACCCUAUUCUCAGCCUUGCCAAAGUCCUGAUAGCCCCAAUAGCAGAGCACCAGGUGAGUCUUUGAUCUGGGUUGUUUCCCUGGGAAUUAGAGCCUGACUGUCUUUUCCAAGUAGAAUUUCCAGGCUCAGAGUCCACUCCCCCCCCCCCCACCUCCCCUUUAAUGAUUUCCUUUUUUCCGUCACCACCAUUUUGCUCCCUCUUUGAGUAAAAGGUAAACACUCUCUGGA